CUCUAGCCCUGAUGGAAGUGAAAAUCCUUUUUAUCCUGUCUCGUUUUAAAACGAGACAGGAUAAAAAGAUUGUAGCGCACAGCAGGACGACUG
rnacentral:sRNA from 1 species